rnacentral:tRNA from 1 species
GCGGGGAUAGCGUUGGGAGAGCGUCAGACUGAAGAUCUGAAGGUCGCGUGUUCGAUCCACGCUCACUGCA